AGAAUCAACGCUGGCGGCGUGCCUAACACAUGCAAGUCGAACGAGAAAGUGGAGCAAUCCAUGAGUAAAGUGGCGCACGGGUGAGUAACACGUGACUAACCUACCCUUGAGUGGGGGAUAACCUAGAGAAAUCUGGGCUAAUACCGCAUAAUACCUUCGGGUCAAAGGAGCAAUUCGCUUAAGGAGGGGGUCGCGGCCGAUUAGUUAGUUGGCGGGGUAAUGGCCCACCAAGACUGUGAUCGGUAUCCGGCCUGAGAGGGCGCACGGACACACUGGAACUGAAACACGGUCCAGACUCCUACGGGAGGCAGCAGUGGGGAAUUUGCGCAAUGGGGGAAACCCUGACGCAGCAACGCCGCGUGGAGGAUGAAGCCCCUUGGGGCGUAAACUCCUUUCGAUCGGGAAGAUAAUGACGGUACCGAGAGAAGAAGCCCCGGCUAACUUCGCGCCAGCAGCCGC
rnacentral:rRNA from 1 species